CGGAGGAAAAGAAACUAACAAGGAUUCCCCUAGUAACGGCGAGUGAAGCGGGAAGAGCUCAAAUUUGAAAUCUGGCAGUCUUCGAUUGUCCGAGUUGUAAUCUAUAGAGGCGUUUUCCGUGCCGGACCGUGUCCAAGUCUCCUGGAAAGGAGUAUCAAAGAGGGUGAUAAUCCCGUACUUAACACGACCACCGGUGCUCUGUGAUACGUCUUCUACGAGUCGAGUUGUUUGGGAAUGCAGCUCAAAAUGGGUGGUGAAUUCCAUCUAAAGCUAAAUAUUGGCGAGAGACCGAUAGCGAACAAGUACCGUGAGGGAAAGAUGAAAAGCACUUUGGAAAGAGAGUUAAACAGUACGUGAAAUUGUUGAAAGGGAAACGAUUGAAGUCAGUCGUGUUCUUUGGAUUCAGCCAGUUCUGCUGGUCUACUUCCUUGGAACGGGUCAACAUCAGUUUUGUCCGGUGGAUAAAGGUAGUAGGAAUGUGACUUCUCCGGAAGUGUUAUAGCCUAUUAUCACAUACACUGGGUGAGACUGAGGACUGCAGCUCGCCUUUAUGGCCGGCCUUCGGGCACGUUCGAGCUUAGGAUGUUGACAUAAUGGCUUUAAACGACCCG
rnacentral:rRNA from 1 species